UACGAGUGCCCCAAGCGUUAUCCGGAAUUAUUGGGCGUAAAGGGUGUGUAGGUGGUUGUGUUAGUCUUCUGUUAAAGCUCCCGGCUCAACCGGGAACAUGCAGAGGAAACGGCACGACUAGAGGAUGUGAGAGGUAAGCGGAACUCAUGGUGUAGGGGUGAAAUCCGUUGAUAUCAUGGGGAACACCAAAAGCGAAGGCAGCUUACUGGCGCAUUCCUGACACUGAAACACGAAAGCGUGGGUAGCGAAUGGA
rnacentral:rRNA from 1 species